AUUGAACGCUAGCGGGAUGCUUUACACAUGCAAGUCGAACGGAGUGGCGAACGGGUGAGUAAUGUAUCGGAACGUGCCCAGUAGCGGGGGACAACUACGCGAAAGCGUAGCUAAUACCGCAUACUAUUGGAACGGAUGAUAUCGGAUGAGCUAGUGGGUGAGGUAACGGCUCACCAAGGCGACGAGCCGUAGCUGGUUUGAGAGGACGACCAGCCACACUGGGACUGAGACACGGCCCAGACUCCUACGGGAGGCAGCAGUGGGGAAUUUUGGACAAUGGGGGCAACCCUGAUCCAGCCAUCCCGCGUGGGCGAUGAAGGCCUUCGGGUUGUAAAGCACUUUUGGCAGGAAAGCGGUACCUGCAGAAUAAGCACCGGCUAACUACGUGCCAGCAGCCGCGGUAAUAC
rnacentral:rRNA from 1 species